GUUGAUAAGGUUAAGUGAAUAAGGGCGCACGGUGGAUGCCUUGGCACUAGGAGCCGAUGAAGGACGGGACUAACACCGAUAUGCUUUGGGGAGCUGUAAGUAAGCUAUGAUCCAGAGAUUUCCGAAUGGGGGAACCCAAUAUCUUUUAUAGGAUAUUACUUUUCAGUGAAUACAUAGCUGAUUAGAGGUAGACGCAGAGAACUGAAACAUCUUAGUACCUGCAGGAAGAGAAAGAAAAUUCGAUUCCCUGAGUAGCGGCGAGCGAAACGGGAAGAGCCCAAACCAACAAGCUUGCUUGUUGGGGUUGUAGGACUCCAAUAUGGUAGUCUGUUAGUAUAGUUGAAGGAUUUGGAAAAUUCCGCUAAAGAGGGUGAAAGCCCCGUAGACGAAAUGCUAACAACACCUAGGAGGAUCCUGAGUACGGCGGAACACGAGAAAUUCCGUCGGAAUCCGCGGGGACCAUCCCGCAAGGCUAAAUACUCCCUAGUGACCGAUAGUGAACCAGUACCGUGAGGGAAAGGUGAAAAGCACCCCGGAAGGGGAGUGAAAUAGAUCCUGAAACCGUGUGCCUACAACAAGUCAAAGCUCGUUAAUGAGUGAUGGCGUGCCUUUUGUAGAAUGAACCGGCGAGUUACGAUUGCAUGCGAGGUUAAGUCGAAGAGACGGAGCCGCAGCGAAAGCGAGUCUGAAUAGGGCGAAUGAGUAUGUAGUCGUAGACCCGAAACCAUGUGAUCUACCCAUGUCCAGGUUGAAGGUGCGGUAAAACGCACUGGAGGACCGAACCCACGUACGUUGAAAAGUGCGGGGAUGAGGUGUGGGUAGCGGAGAAAUUCCAAACGAACUUGGAGAUAGCUGGUUCUCUCCGAAAUAGCUUUAGGGCUAGCCUCGGAAUUGAGAAUGAUGGAGGUAGAGCACUGUUUGGACUAGGGGCCCAUCUCGGGUUACCGAAUUCAGAUAAACUCCGAAUGCCAUUCAUUUAUAUCCGGGAGUCAGACUGCGAGUGAUAAGAUCCGUAGUCGAAAGGGAAACAGCCCAGACCACCAGCUAAGGUCCCAAAAUAUAUGUUAAGUGGAAAAGGAUGUGGGGUUGCACAGACAACUAGGAUGUUGGCUUAGAAGCAGCCACCAUUUAAAGAGUGCGUAAUAGCUCACUAGUCGAGUGACCCUGCGCCGAAAAUGUACCGGGGCUAAACAUAUUACCGAAGCUGUGGACUACACCAUUAGGUGUAGUGGUAGGAGAGCGUUCUAAGGGCGUUGAAGGUCGAUCGUGAGGACGGCUGGAGCGCUUAGAAGUGAGAAUGCCGGUAUGAGUAGCGAAAGACAGGUGAGAAUCCUGUCCACCGUAUGACUAAGGUUUCCUGGGGAAGGCUCGUCCGCCCAGGGUUAGUCGGGACCUAAGCCGAGGCCGAUAGGCGUAGGCGAUGGACAACAGGUUGAUAUUCCUGUACCAGUUGUUUUUGUUUGAGCAAUGGAGGGACGCAGUAGGCUAAGGAAUGCAUGCGAUUGGAAGUGCAUGUCCAAGCAAUGAGUCUUGAGUAGAGUUAAAUGCUUUACUCUCUAAGGACAAGUUGUGACGGGGAGCGAAAUAAUAGUAGCGAAGUUCCUGAUGUCACACUGCCAAGAAAAGCUUCUAGUGAGAAAACAACUGCCCGUACCGUAAACCGACACAGGUAGUCGAGGAGAGUAUCCUAAGGUGAGCGAGCGAACUCUCGUUAAGGAACUCGGCAAAAUGACCCCGUAAC
rnacentral:rRNA from 1 species